CCCCUAGAUGUUCUGGGCCGCACGCGCGCUACACUGAACAGUUCAACAAGUCUUACCCUUGGCCGAUAGGUCUGGGUAAUCUUUGAACGCUGUUCGUGAUUGGGAUAGACCUUUGCAAUUAUGGGUCUUCAACGAGGAAUUCCUAGUAAACGCAAGUCAUCAGCUUGCAUUGAUUACGUCCCUGCCCUUUGUACACACCGCCCGUCGCACCUACCGAUUGAAUGGUCCGGUGAAAUCUCGGGACGGCGGCUUGGUCGCUUGCGUCCGACUGCUGAAACUUGAUUAAACCAUAUCAUUUAGAGGAAGGUGAAGUCGUAACA
rnacentral:rRNA from 1 species